rnacentral:rRNA from 1 species
AUGAGCUUGGGUGACAGGCUAACGCGACAAAGCCCAGCGAUAGAGAACAUACAGCUUCUCCAAACUCAAAGCCCAAAUAAAGAAUCUCGCGGCGCGACGGCCCAAACGACACACGGCCGGGAAGAGAAGGCUUCCUCCCAAAGCCUUCCAAGCCAGGCACACGACCGCCGCAGCCGACAUGGCCGCCGGACCCACGUGCCGCCGGCCGCGGAGGCGCAGUCUCUGGUGGAGUCGUUCUGCGCCGUCACCUCGGCGACCCCCGACAAGGCGGCCUUCUUCCUCGAGGGCCCAGCCGCCGUUCGCUCCUUCUACGACAACACGGAAGUCGACGCCGUUGGCCCCGAUCCGGCACCCCAGCCCCCGCCAGCCGGUUCGCCUCCGUGCUCCUCACCACGCGCCACGACACCAUCGACGACCUCCUCCAUACCGGCGAGCUCGCGGUACAAGUAG